ensembl:lncRNA
AUGGUCCUGAAUGGUGAUUUACCCAAAUCAUUGGAAACACUAAAGGAUGAACAUUUAGGUUGUGGUGUGACUGAUACAACAAGCACUAAAGCUAAAACAUCACAGGAGACACAGUUUCCCCAUGUGAAGAGGUCUCUUCAGCAAGUGUUUGAGUGUGCCUACGCCCAGCUAGUCCUCCCCUGGUACUGCGUCCCUGAGCCCUGUGACAGUCAGCUCCUGCACGGGGUGCUGUGGAAGGAGUUUGACCAAGUCAUUGAUCAAGUCAUCAGCAGAGGCAAAGACUUUGAUGUCUGCUCAGCAAGUGUGGGCUGCAUUCGCAUCCUGACCCAGCACCUCCAUAGUGCCAAACAGUCUGAUAGAGAACCAUUGUUCAGCUCUAGGGGAGAGGAGGUUGAAGUUCUAAGAGUCUUCUCUGAAGCACUGGUGCGAAACCUUUUCCCUCAGUCUCUAUGGGGACUGGCAGUCAGCCACUGUGCCUUAAAUGAGAUUGUUGCCUUAAAAGUGCUGGACCUGCUGGUGCGGUGGCUAUCAGACCCAGACAACCUCAACCAGCUGGUGGUGAGUCGGCUGGAUGGAGUGACCCCCAAGAGCUCUGUGGAAGAGCUGUGUGAGUCUAACUCUGACGGGGCCUCUCCAGCCGCCCUGGAGAGCCAGACCAGUGAUGCAACACUGGAAGAAACCGAGAAUGCUCAAACCGGUGAUGGCAAGUCCAAAAAGAAAGCCAACAAAUUGAAGGAAGGCUGGUCUAAAAUCCUUGACAAGAUGAAAUCGAAGAAAGAUAAAAGGAAGAAGAUGAAGAAAAAGGAGCAGGUGCUGGUGGUCAGAGCCAAGUCUAUCCAGGAUUGUUCAUCAAAGGAAAGUGAAGGUAGUAGCCGGGAGUGUUCCAUCCAGAGGCAGCAGGACCCCGACAGCGAGGAUGGUGAUCUGGAGAGCUACUUGACCAGCGUACAAGAAGAAAUGAUGGAAUUCAAGCUGUCAUAUGAGAUGUGGCGGGUUGGCCACUGGGCUGUCAGCGUCCCUCAUAUGGAGAGGGAAAAUGAGGAGAUGUGUUUUACAGUUCACCUAGAAGAGAGGGAUAACCCUGAGAACCUUCACUGGGAUGUAAAGAAGACCCAGACGGACAUCAUCCAUUUCUGCAACCUAUGGCAGGACUCUGCUAAUUUACCCUCCCUAUCCGUGUUAGAGGCAAGCACUGAGAGUAACAGCGAGGAUUUUAGAGAAGCCAAAACGUCCCUCAAGGUCUUCUUACAGGAGCUGGUCUCUGAUGCUCUGAUGGGCCACACUCAGCCAGUGUUUCAGUUUCUGUGUCCUCUGGACAAGCUGCUGAGUGAAGAGGAGCAUGUAGGGGGAGUGUGGGGUCUCCUUAGUGGCCUGGCCUACUUCCUGUCUCCAGGGCAAGAGGAAGAUGAGGACAAGCACAACACUCUUCAAAGAGGGACCAAAUCAGAUGAUUCCAACACACCUGAGAAUGCAGACUCAACUGCAACUGAGAAGCUGAAUGAAAACAUUGGUGAUACAAGGGAUGGUUCUCUUUCAGAACCAAGUCCCAUUGAGUGCUGCAGAGGUAAAGUGAUGGUGCCAGUAGAGAAAUCAGACUGUUUGGUUAAUGCAGGCAAAACCGAGGACACAAAAGAGGAAUCGGAGAACCCUGUAACUUCUCACCUAAAGAUGAUCAACAAAGAACUAUCCAGAUCAGAGGAGUGUCUGGCCCAAACAAAAUCCGACAACCCUGAAGACCAGACCGACUCUGUCUGUAGGCCGCGACAUUUCAGUCAAAAUGGAGGCUCGCAAUAUGACCUCGCUGACAGUCCGUCAUGGUGUUAUUUAGUUGGAAAGUCAAAUAAAAAGGAUAAACUCACUUUCAAAAUGUCAGGAGGGAUCCACAGGAGUAGAGUAAAGGACAUGGGGAGUCAGUCAAAAUUAGAAGACUCGCAGUGUUUGAAAAAGAACCAAUCCAGCUGGGAGCAAAUGGAAGCAACCAAAGCCAUUUUUGAUUUGUUGAAAGCAAUAUCUGGUAAUUCCAUCCUCCUGAACAUAUUUGAUGCGAUUCUGAAACCCGUCAUGCCGAUAUUGAAAAAGAAAGUGAAAAGCUUCUUGAAUAAGAUGAACCCAACGGAUGCCCAGAUGGCCUCCUAUAUCGAUAACCUAUGUGACAAACAGUGGCCUGAGGGCUCGCCAGAGGUGACCAGCCCUAAACCCCACCGCAGCAGUCAGGAAAAGAACGAGACCAAAGACCGAGCUCAGCACCUCAUCAAUGCCAGAUAUUCAAACUAUUUAAUCUUGAAGAAGACUGAUAUGGAGACAGUGUUUAAGCUCUUCCAGGACUGUGAAGAAAACAAGAAGCUGGUCUAUAUGCUGCUUUCAUUCCUUUUGAGAGAGCUUCUGCCGGGUGAGGAUGCCCUUAAUGUGAGUGCCAUAACCCUGCAGAAAGUGAACGCCAACUAACUCAUUUUAAGAUGUUCACAGGUCAUGCUUUUAAAUUAACUGUAGUUCUGAUGUUUUAGAAAAUUAAACAAUUUAUUUGAUUGGUUGUCAUGCCUUAACAGUCCCAUUUAAGUCUACACUUGGUGGGAGUAUUAUAAUAAAGAAAUCUUAUGAUACAUUUCCAGAGAAGUAUAUUUUACCUCAUACAUUAAACAUGCUGUGAAUCAUGCCUAUUAUUUAAAAUGUAUCAUAUGUUGACGUGUUAUGUAUUUGGCAAUAUCAGCACACUAAUGUGAGGUUAUUCAAGUUAAAACAUCCUCUACCGGUGACAAUGGCGUACAUCGUUAAUCUCAGAGGGGGCAUAAAUGUACUUUGAUUUCACUGGUAGUGACACACAGAGCACUUUGAAUAAAAUGUUGAAGUUUUGACCUAAAGGGUUUUGAGCACUUUGAGCACUUUCAUAGUUGAUGGGGAGACGUGUUAUAUCAGAAGCUUUUGAGGAAAGUUGUUAAUAUUUUGUUAUUGGAUUUUGAGAAUUUCCAGAAAUUACAUACGCACCUGCCUUCUAAAAGAAAGCUUGCAAGACACUGAAUGUGAAAAUUAAGUGUCUUGUUAAUAAAGCUAUUUUAUAUAUAUCUAUAUUAGAUUUUCCUUGCUUCUUUGGCUGCGUUUACACAGCAAGCCCAAUUCUGUUUUGUUUUUUAACCAAUUGGCCUUUGACCAAUCAGAUCAGCUCUGAAAAAGAGCUGAUGUGAUAUGAUUGGUCGUAAGACCAAAUCAUGGAGAGAAAAAAGUCAUAAUUGGGCUGCCUGUUAACACAGCCUCAGACAUAUGCCUGGUAUGCUUUAGAUUGUGUGGUAGGUAUAUUCUGUCUUCUGAUUCUUCCAGUCCUGCCAUAUGGGAUUAAUGAGUUUUAACGAGUUUUUCUAUGUUGAGCAUUUUUAUGUUCACAAAAAAAAAUGGAUCAUUAAAGUAACUGUUUAGCGUUUCUAGAUGUCUAUGAAAUAGAACCUUAGAAAAUGAGUGAAAUUGUUUUCCUUCACAAAAAUGUAAGAAUAUUAAAAGGCAGCUUUUCUUUGUUGGAAUACUGUGUGUAUACCCCAUCAACAGAAUGGUGUGGGCGUAUACCGGUUGAUAGAAAUAUUAACCCAUGUAGAUGCCUGAUUGGCCAGUUCAUCCUCUUCAGGAGGAUAACAUCAUCCUCUGAGUAAAGGGCAAGUAUUUUUAAACUGUCUGAGAUGUGGGUUCGAAGUGCUUUGGCCACAUGAGUAUAGGAUGAGUCAAGAACUUUAUUUGGGUAUGAGUUAACAGAAUAUAAACUUAUAAAAGUCAGAUUUCACUGAACAGUUUCUUUAAAGCCCACAUGCAGUCUUUUUAAAAUUAUUUUUAAAUCACUAUGUGCAUGAAAAUAACUUUCUUAUCAACUUUAAAUAUAUUUACAUACACAGCCCUGAUUGGCAGAUAUAAUUGUCUAGACCAUGGUUUUUCAAACUCUUAUCUGUGAAAGUGUUGGUUUUUGCCCUAGCACUACACAGCUGAUUCAAAUAACCAACUCAUAAUCAAGCAUUAACUAUUUGAAUCAGCUGUGUAGUGCUAGGGCAAAAACCAAAAUAUGCACCCGGGGGGGGCCACAGGACCAAGUUUGGGAAGCCCUGCUCUAGAGAAGUGAUUCACAAACUUUAUUUGGUUACUGUACCCCAAAUCACAUUACAUUUGCUCUGUCUGGAGAACCCACAAAGUACCCCCUCAUGUUCAUGUUACCAGUAGGCCUAUGGUCACUCAUGAGUUUUCCCGAGUACUUCCUGUGGAUAGCACAAGUACCCCAGGUUGGGAACCACUGCUAUAAAACCAACCCUGCUUACCCCAUCAAAGAAGGAGGAUACGUAUGCAAAUAAAAGAUGACUGGUUAUUGGUCUGAAUAAUCAGAUCAUAUUGUGAUGUCAUGCUGUGGACCAAAAACUCCAUCUCACCUGAACUGGCUGAAUUAUAACAUUUUUGCUCGAAAAACUCUUACACUAAAAGAGCAUUAUCAACAUUUUGCAAAUUCCAGAGUGUUAUUUCGACCUCAUAGUGUGGAAAUGUCAUAAAAAAAAAAUGGAAAUCACAUUGUUAACUGCACUGCACCUUUAAUGCUAUGCCUAAUGAUGAUACCCAAGUAAUAUUUGGGUAUCAUCAAAAUAGUAAUAUUGAUCUAGC